CAGGAGCCGGGGAGCCGAGGAGGGAGGAGCCGCCGCCGCAGCCGAGCGCUGGGCUGAGGAGCAGAGAAAGCGGGGCGCGGAGUGCGGGCGGCUGGGAGCGCGCUGAGCGGGGGAGAGGCGCUGCCGCACGGCCGGCCACAGGACCACCUCCCCGGAGAAUAGGGCCUCUUUAUGGCAUGUGGCUGGUAACUUUCCUCCUGCUCCUGGACUCUUUACACAAAGCCCGCCCUGAAGAUGUCGGCACCAGCCUCUACUUUGUAAAUGACUCCUUGCAGCAGGUGACCUUUUCCAGCUCCGUGGGGGUGGUGGUGCCCUGCCCGGCUGCAGGCUCCCCCAGCGCGGCCCUUCGAUGGUACCUGGCCACGGGAGACGACAUCUACGACGUGCCGCACAUCCGGCACGUCCACGCCAACGGGACGCUGCAGCUCUACCCCUUCUCCCCCUCCGCCUUCAAUAGCUUUAUCCACGACAAUGACUACUUCUGCACCGCGGAGAACGCUGCCGGCAAGAUCCGGAGCCCCAACAUCCGCGUCAAAGCAGUUUUCAGGGAACCCUACACCGUCCGGGUGGAGGAUCAAAGGUCAAUGCGUGGCAACGUGGCUGUCUUCAAGUGCCUCAUCCCCUCUUCAGUGCAGGAAUACGUUAGCGUUGUGUCAUGGGAGAAAGACACAGUCUCCAUCAUCCCAGAAAACAGGUUUUUUAUUACCUACCACGGCGGGCUGUACAUAUCUGACGUACAGAAGGAGGACGCCCUCUCUACCUAUCGCUGCAUCACCAAGCACAAGUACAGCGGGGAGACUCGGCAGAGCAAUGGGGCACGCCUCUCUGUGACAGACCCUGCUGAGUCGAUCCCUACCAUUCUGGACGGCUUCCACUCCCAGGAAGUGUGGGCCGGCCACACUGUGGAGCUGCCCUGCACCGCCUCGGGCUACCCUAUCCCCUCCAUCCGCUGGCUUAAGGAUGGCCGGCCCCUCCCAGCUGACAGCCGCUGGACCAAGCGCAUCACGGGGCUGACCAUCAGCGACUUGCGGACCGAGGACAGCGGCACCUACAUUUGUGAGGUCACCAACACCUUCGGCUCGGCAGAGGCCACAGGCACCCUCACAGUCAUUGAUCCCCUUCAUGUGACCCUGACACCAAAGAAGCUGAAGACCGGCAUCGGCAGCACGGUCAUCCUCUCCUGUGCCCUGACGGGCUCCCCGGAGUUCACCAUCCGCUGGUAUCGCAACACGGAGCUGGUGCUGCCCGACGAGGCCAUCUCCAUCCGCGGGCUCAGCAACGAGACGCUGCUCAUCACCUCGGCCCAGAAGAGCCAUUCCGGGGCCUACCAGUGCUUUGCCACCCGCAAGGCCCAGACCGCCCAGGACUUUGCCAUCAUUGCACUCGAGGAUGGCACGCCCCGCAUCGUCUCAUCCUUCAGCGAGAAGGUGGUCAACCCCGGGGAGCAGUUCUCACUGAUGUGUGCGGCCAAGGGUGCCCCGCCCCCCACAGUCACCUGGGCCCUGGACGACGAGCCCAUCAUGCGGGAUGGCAGCCACCGUACCAACCAGUACACCAUGUCGGAUGGCACCACCAUCAGCCACAUGAACGUCACAGGCCCCCAGAUCCGUGAUGGGGGUGUGUACCGGUGCACGGCGCGGAACUCGGUGGGCAGUGCUGAAUAUCAGGCGCGAAUAAACGUAAGAGGCCCCCCCAGCAUCCGGGCCAUGAGGAACAUCACAGCAGUCGCCGGGCGGGACACCCUUAUCAACUGCAGGGUCAUCGGCUAUCCCUACUACUCCAUCAAGUGGUAUAAGGAUGCCCUGCUGCUGCCGGACAACCACCGCCAGGUGGUGUUUGAGAACGGGACCCUCAAGCUGACCGACGUGCAGAAGGGCAUGGACGAGGGGGAGUACCUGUGCAGCGUCCUCAUCCAGCCCCAGCUCUCCAUCAGCCAGAGCGUCCACGUGGCCGUCAAAGUGCCCCCCCUGAUCCAGCCCUUCGAGUUCCCACCCGCCUCCAUCGGCCAGCUGCUCUACAUUCCCUGUGUGGUGUCCUCGGGGGACAUGCCCAUCCGCAUCACCUGGAGGAAGGAUGGACAGGUGAUCAUCUCAGGCUCGGGCGUGACCAUCGAGAGCAAGGAAUUCAUGAGCUCCCUGCAGAUCUCCAGCGUCUCCCUCAAGCACAACGGCAACUACACGUGCAUCGCCAGCAACGCGGCGGCCACCGUGAGCAGGGAGCGCCAGCUCAUCGUGCGAGUGCCCCCUCGAUUUGUGGUGCAACCCAACAACCAGGAUGGCAUCUAUGGCAAAGCUGGUGUGCUCAACUGCUCGGUGGACGGCUACCCCCCGCCCAAGGUCAUGUGGAAGCACGCCAAGGGGAGCGGGAACCCCCAGCAGUACCACCCUGUGCCCCUCACUGGCCGCAUCCAGAUCCUGCCCAACAGCUCGCUGCUGAUCCGCCACGUCCUAGAAGAGGACAUCGGCUACUACCUCUGCCAGGCCAGCAACGGCGUAGGCACCGACAUCAGCAAGUCCAUGUUCCUCACAGUCAAGAUCCCGGCCAUGAUCACUUCCCACCCCAACACCACCAUUGCCAUCAAGGGUCAUGCGAAAGAGCUGAACUGCACGGCACGGGGUGAGAGGCCCAUCAUCAUCCGCUGGGAGAAGGGGGACACGGUCAUCGACCCUGACCGCGUCAUGCGGUACGCCAUUGCCACCAAGGACAAUGGCGACGAGGUCAUCUCCACGCUGAAGCUCAAGCCAGCUGACCGUGGGGACUCUGUGUUCUUCAGCUGCCAUGCCAUCAACUCGUAUGGGGAGGACCGGGGCUUGAUUCAGCUUACUGUGCAAGAGCCUCCGGACCCCCCAGAGCUGGAGAUCCGGGAGGUGAAGGCCCGGAGCAUGAACCUGCGCUGGACCCAGCGAUUUGAUGGGAACAGCAUCAUCACGGGCUUCGACAUCGAAUACAAGAAUAAAUCAGAUUCCUGGGACUUCAAGCAGUCCACACGUAACAUCUCCCCCACCAUCAACCAGGCCAACAUAGUGGACUUGCACCCAGCAUCUGUGUACAGCAUCCGCAUGUACUCCUUUAACAAGAUUGGCCGCAGUGAACCAAGCAAGGAGCUCACUGUCAGCACUGAGGAGGCUGCUCCUGAUGGGCCACCCAUGGAUGUUACCUUGCAGCCAGUGACCUCACAGAGCAUCCAGGUGACCUGGAAGGCACCCAAGAAGGAGCUGCAGAAUGGCGUCAUCCGGGGCUACCAGAUCGGCUACAGAGAGAACAGCCCCGGCAGCAACGGGCAGUACAGCAUCGUGGAGAUGAAGGCCACGGGGGACAGCGAGGUCUACACCCUGGACAACCUCAAGAAGUUCGCCCAGUAUGGUGUGGUGGUCCAGGCCUUCAAUCGGGCUGGCACGGGGCCCUCAUCCAGCGAGAUCAAUGCCACCACUCUGGAGGAUGUGCCCAGCCAGCCCCCCGAGAACGUCCGGGCCCUGUCUAUCACUUCUGACGUGGCUGUCAUCUCUUGGUCUGAGCCCCCACGCAGCACCCUCAAUGGCGUCCUCAAAGGCUAUCGGGUCAUCUUCUGGUCCCUCUACGUUGAUGGGGAGUGGGGCGAGAUGCAGAACAUCACCACCACGCGGGAGCGGGUGGAGCUGCGGGGCAUGGAGAAGUUCACCAACUACAGCGUCCAGGUGCUGGCCUACACCCAGGCGGGGGACGGCGUGCGCAGCAGCGUGCUCUACAUCCAGACCAAGGAGGACGUUCCAGGUCCCCCUGCUGGCAUCAAAGCUGUCCCUUCAUCAGCUAGCAGUGUGGUUGUGUCUUGGCUCCCCCCUACCAAGCCCAACGGGGUGAUCCGCAAGUACACCAUCUUCUGCUCCAGCCCCGGGUCUGGCCAGCCGGCUCCCAGUGAGUAUGAGACUAGUCCAGAGCAGCUCUUCUACCGGAUCGCCCACCUAAACCGCGGUCAGCAAUAUCUGCUGUGGGUGGCCGCCGUCACCUCCGCCGGUCGGGGCAACAGCAGCGAGAAGGUGACCAUCGAGCCUGCUGGCAAGGCCCCAGCAAAGAUCAUCUCCUUUGGGGGCACCGUGACAACACCUUGGAUGAAAGAUGUUCGGCUGCCUUGCAAUUCGGUGGGAGAUCCAGCCCCCGCUGUGAAGUGGACCAAGGACAGUGAAGACUCGGCCAUCCCAGUGUCCAUGGAUGGACACCGGCUCAUCCACACCAACGGCACGCUGCUACUGCGUGCAGUAAAGGCUGAGGACUCCGGCUACUACACCUGCACGGCCACCAACACUGGGGGCUUCGACACCAUCAUUGUCAACCUUCUGGUGCAAGUUCCCCCGGACCAGCCCCGCCUCACUGUCUCCAAAACCUCAGCUUCGUCCAUCACCCUGACCUGGAUUCCAGGUGACAAUGGGGGCAGCUCCAUUCGAGGCUUCGUGCUGCAGUACUCGGUGGACAACAGUGAGGAGUGGAAGGACCUGUUCAUCAGCUCCAGUGAACGCUCCUUCAAGCUGGAUAGCCUCAAGUGUGGCACGUGGUACAAGGUGAAGCUGGCAGCCAAGAACAGCGUGGGCUCUGGGCGCAUCAGCGAGAUCAUCGAGGCCAAGACCCACGGGAGGGAGCCCUCCUUCAGCAGAGACCAACACCUCUUCACCCACAUCAACUCCACGCAUGCUCGGCUUAACCUGCAGGGCUGGAACAAUGGGGGCUGCCCUAUCACAGCCAUCGUGCUGGAGUACCGGCCCAAGGGGACCUGGGCCUGGCAGGGCCUCCGCGCCAACAGCUCCGGGGAGGUGUUUCUGACCGAACUGCGAGAGGCCACAUGGUACGAGCUGCGCAUGAGGGCUUGCAACAGCGCCGGCUGCGGCAACGAGACGGCCCAGUUCGCCACCCUGGACUACGACGGCAGCACCAUUCCACCCAUCAAGUCUGCUCAAGGUGAAGGGGAUGAUGUGAAGAAGCUGUUUACCAUUGGCUGCCCCGUCAUCCUGGCCACACUAGGGGUGGCACUGCUCUUCAUUGUACGCAAGAAGAGGAAGGAGAAGCGGCUGAAGCGACUCCGAGAUGCAAAGAGUUUGGCAGAAAUGUUGAUAAGCAAGAACAAUCGAAGCUUUGACACCCCUGUGAAAGGGCCACCCCAGGGCCCACGGCUACAUAUUGACAUCCCCAGGGUCCAGCUGCUCAUUGAGGACAAAGAGGGCAUCAAGCAGCUGGGAGAUGACAAGGCCACCAUCCCUGUGACAGAUGCUGAGUUCAGCCAAGCUGUCAACCCACAGAGCUUCUGUACUGGCGUCUCCUUGCACCACCCAGCCCUCAUCCAGAGCACAGGACCCCUCAUCGACAUGUCUGACAUCCGGCCAGGAACCAAUCCAGUGUCCAGGAAGAAUGUGAAGUCAGCACACAGUACCCGGAACCGGUACUCAAGCCAGUGGACCCUGACCAAGUGCCAGGCCUCCACGCCCGCCCGCACCCUCACCUCCGACUGGCGCACUGUGGGCUCCCAGCAUGGUGUCACUGUCACUGAGAGUGACAGCUACAGCGCCAGCCUGUCCCAGGACACAGACAAAGGAAGGAACAGCAUGGUGUCCACGGAGAGUGCCUCUUCCACUUAUGAGGAGCUGGCCCGGGCCUACGAGCAUGCCAAGCUGGAGGAGCAGCUGCAGCACGCCAAGUUUGAGAUCACCGAGUGCUUCAUCUCUGACAGUUCCUCCGACCAGAUGACCACAGGCACCAAUGAGAACGCCGACAGCAUGACAUCCAUGAGCACACCCUCAGAGCCUGGCAUCUGCCGCUUCACCGCCUCACCACCCAAGCCCCAGGAUGCUGACCGGGGCAAAAACGUGGCUGUGCCCAUCCCUCACCGGGCCAACAAGAGUGACUACUGUAACCUGCCGCUGUAUGCCAAGUCGGAGGCCUUCUUUCGAAAGGCAGAUGGACGUGAGCCCUGCCCUGUGGUCCCACCCCGAGAGGCCUCCAUCCGGAACCUGGGCCGAACCUACCACACCCAGGCUCGCCACCUGACCCUGGACCCUGCCAGCAAGCCCUUGGGCCUCCCGCACCCAGGGGCCCCCGCUGCCGCCUCCACAGCCACCUUACCUCAGAGGACUCUGGCCAUGCCAGCACCCCCAGCCGGCACAGCCCCCCCAGCCCCCGGCCCCACCCCUGCUGAGCCCCCCACCGCCCCCAGCACUGCCCCUCCAGCCCCCAGCACCGAGCCUCCACGAGGCGGGGGCCCACACACCAAAAUGGGGGGCUCCAGAGACUCGCUUCUCGAGAUGAGCACGUCGGGGGUAGGGAGGUCUCAGAAGCAGGGGGCCGGGGCCUACUCCAAAUCCUACACCCUGGUGUAGGGCCAGCAGGAAGAGCAGCCCACGCCUGGACCGCGCGCCGCAGCCCCACACACCAGCUCGGCUGUUUUUCUGCAUUAUUUAUAUUCAACUGACAGACAAAAACCAACCAACGACAAAACACAAACCCCCAAUCAUGAACGCCUGUACAUAGAACUCUUUUGUACAAAUGAAACUAUUUUCUUCUUCUUCUCCAUGAAGCCAGGGCACAAAGAAUUUGACAGUACAAGUCAAAUCCCCCACCCCACAAAAUAUGUGUGGAGAUAUAUAUACAUAUAUAGACAGAUAGGAACACGUCGGCAAGCUAUAUAUCUAUAUAUUUCUCUCACCCUAUUUUGAAACAGAGGCACAAAGACUCAGCAAUUUUUUUUCCCUCCUCCUCACCCUCCCCCUCAAACUAGGUGGUUUUGACAAAGACCAAAAUCCCAGCUCAGAGACACUGCAUGCGAUUUUACUGUUCCAAGAAAACCAGGAGUUGCUUCCAUUUGCAGAUGCUUAUGUGUUCAUACCUUUUUCUAUGAAAAAAGACCCAGCGCCGUGUGCAAUAAAGCCCCCACACCCAGGACCCAGCCUGGAGAAGCAGCUAACAGCAUCAGUGAAAACCAGAACUCUGCAUUCCAGGCACCUGGUGACAGCCCAGCUUCGUUCCAUCUCUGGGAGGACGGGACGCCUCCCAAGGAUCCGCACGCCAUCUGCAGGUCACCUCCAGAACUGCAAGCACGACAAUCAAACCUGAACGGUCUGCAUAGAAUGCCUCCCAACCCCACCUUCCCUGCACACCAGUCGCUGGGCACACAAACACGAAUCAGAGCCAGCUCCAGCCUGCAGGAAGGAAUGAACAACUCCUCAGAAGCUAAGAGCGCAGAAGAUGGAGCCAGCCCAAGGGCUGCGAAGGGGAACGCUGUCGUGAAAACACAUUACGGAUCCCGAUACUACGCGCCAGGUGCUGAGCAAAACAUGUGCUGAGCAAAACACAUGCCUCGCACUGAUUGGCUCUUGUGACCCCAUUGUAUAUUUGAGAGAAAGGUAUCACGAUGUCCACUUGACAGACCUCCACUUUAUCUACCAUGGACAAGAUGACAAUCUGCCCUCAAAAGGCUUAAUACUCCACGUGUGGUUCACAGGCCAGUGGCACCAGCAUCACCAUACCUAGGAGCUUGUUACAAAUGCAAAAAAUCAGGCCUCACCCUGGGAAUCGGACCACUGAAUCAGACUCUGUACUUCAGCAAAAUCCUCAGGGGACUCAUAUGCACAUCAAAGUUUGAGAAGCACUCCUCAAGAAGGCCUUCAGAGACAUCACCCCUUGUUCCCCUAUUCCAACAACCAGAGCUAGACUAGUGGGUCUUAAACUUAGGUGCACAUCAGAUCCACCUGAGGAGCUCGUUCAACAACACAGAAGCCCAGCUCUCGCCAAUCCUGACGGAAUAGGAAUUUGUUGAUGGAGUCUUGCUUUGCUGCCCAGGCUAGAGUGCAG